GACGUAGGGCGCAAGCGUUGUCCGGAUUUAUUGGGCGUAAAGAGCUCGUAGGCGGCUCGUUGCGUCGGCUGUGAAAACCCGCAGCUCAACUGUGGGCUUGCAGCCGAUACGGGCGGGCUGGAGUUCGGUAGGGGAGACUGGAAUUCCUGGUGUAGCGGUGAAAUGCGCAGAUAUCAGGAGGAACACCGAUGGCGAAGGCAGGUCUCUGGGCAUUAACUGACGCUGAGGAGCGAAAGCAUGGGGAGCGAACAGG
rnacentral:rRNA from 1 species